UACGUAGGGUGCGAGCGUUGUCCGGAAUUACUGGGCGUAAAGAGCUCGUAGGCGGCUUGUUGCGUCGACUGUGAAACCGCGGCUCAACCGUGUGGUCUGCAGUCGAUACGGGCAGGCUAGAGUUCGGUAGGGGAGACGUGGAAUUCCUGGUGUAGCGGUGAAAUGCGUUGAGAUCCACAGGAACGUCCGGUGGCGAAGGCGGCACGC
rnacentral:rRNA from 1 species